rnacentral:hammerhead_ribozyme from 1 species
GUCCAGCUAAUGAGUCUCAAAUAGAAUGAAACGCGCGUCCUGGAU